rnacentral:misc_RNA from 1 species
AAAAUUGUUCAGUCAUCGCCCAUUAAUGGCUUCCCUCACAUCAUUGUCGCUUCCUUCGCUACGAAUCCUUCUAGUUCUACUCCAGCUGCCACCCUCCUCUUCUCGCAUAAUUAUCACCUUACCCCUUCAACAAGCUACUCAGAAUCUACGCCACAAUGAACCGUAUACAUACGACAACGUUAAUUCCCACCUUAUUCUAUAAGGCUUCAAUCGCUAAGGCUUUUCGACAAUAUUAAUAAAUUUCCCACUCCUCAAUCACUGAAAGAGAGAAAAACCAACUGCAUCAACCACUGCUGGAAUUGUCUUCCUCCUGAUUUUAUAAUCCAAAUUUUAAUUGAAUUGCUAUUAGUUUUUUUUUUUUUUCCUGUGUUGCAGCAGCUGAGAAUCCCAUUCUAAUAUGCUCAGAAAGAACUGUGAAGAGGGAUGAUUCAGUGAUUGAUCCUUUGCAGCUGCGUGCCAAUUUGGCAAUAAAAUUUUAUUAUUCACCGGAGAAUAUCCAGAAGAGGACAGUUCAAUCUGGGUUCAAUGAAUCAACUCCAUCAUUGGAUGAAUAGAUCUUUAUUUACCCUUCCUGCUAGAGGAUGAAAUUGGGUCAAGGUUUGCGAUAAAGAUUUCUUUAGCAGAUCAUUUCACCGUAUCAGCAGUUGGAGACGAUGAUUCAAAGGUCGAGGAGGGAAAGCUUGAAAUUACAAGGAAAAGGGAGAGGAGGAAUAGUUCGAUUCAGCUUGUUGGCUUUGUUAGAAUGAU